rnacentral:rRNA from 1 species
UACGGGGGGGGCAAGCGUUGUUCGGAAUUACUGGGCGUAAAGGGCUCGUAGGUGGCCAACUAAGUCGGACGUGAAAUCCCUCGGCUUAACCGGGGAACUGCGUCCGAUACUGGCGGGCUUGAAUCCGGGAGAGGGAUGCGGAAUUCCAGGUGUAGCGGUGAAAUGCGUAGAUAUCGUAAGGAAGACCAGUGGCGAAGGCGGGUCUCUGGACAGUUCCUGACGCUGAGGCACGAAGGCCAGGGGAGCAAACGGG